rnacentral:rRNA from 1 species
UACGAAGGGGGCUAGCGUUGUUCGGAAUUACUGGGCGUAAAGCGCGUGUAGGCGGCUUUGCAAGUCGGGUGUGAAAGCCCUCGGCUCAACCGAGGAAGUGCGCCCGAAACUGCAGAGCUUGAGUACCGGAGAGGAUGGCGGAAUUCCCCAAGUAGAGGUGAAAUUCGUAGAUAUGGGGAGGAACACCGGUGGCGAAGGCGGCCAUCUGGACGGAUACUGACGCUGAGACGCGAAAGCGUGGGGAGCAAACAGG